CACUCUAAGGUGGUGAGGGGAUAAGCCUUGCAUCCUAGAGACUGUGAAAUCUCAAAGAUCAAAGGAUGUGGAUUGAAUAGCACACAAAAGUUGCGGAAAUUUCUUUGAUUCACCAGUGGAUCGAUUCUCUAGAUAUUACACACCAAAGAAAUCGACAGCUUGCUGGAUAUGACACACCAACAAGGAAUGGAUAGAGAGAUGGAUUGAGAGACGCCACAAAGAUCUGUGAAAGGAUCUAUGAUAAGUCUAGACCAGCCAUGAACAUAGAUAUGACACACCAUGAUCAUGGAGUUCCAAAAAUUACAAGACAUCACAUCUUGAAAGAGA
rnacentral:lncRNA from 1 species